rnacentral:lncRNA from 1 species
UCAGAUUCUGCUCUCUUCUCUCAUGGGGACAUGAACCCAUAGUCUUGCCUCCCCAACAAAUGAUAAGCCCCUUUGGUUAAAAUUCUUAAGUACCCUCUGCCUCCGUUUCUCCAUCUGUACAAUGGGUGUCAGCUACUUAGGGCUGUUACGGGGAUUCAAUGAGAGAAUACACACAAGUGCUUUACCACAAAGCCUGGCAAUAGUGUGCACUCAAAACGAUUUGCUUUUCCUCUUUUACAGCAUGGUGAUGCUGAGCAUCGCUGGGCAUGGAGUGAGGCCCCUGCGUCGUGGCUUCCAUUCCCAGUAGUGUCUGCUCUGAUUCCCUGCAGUCUGCUCUAAGUUCAGCCACUCACACCCCCAGCCUUGUUGAUCCAGCUGGGAGGCGAUGUUGAAAGCAGAGUACUCAGAAGGGAAUGAUGCGGACAGUAAUGGCAAGAAAAAUAAAGGAAUCCCAAGAAAGGCAAGGUCUUCAGAGACUCUGCUUGGAGAGAAGUUAUGCUUCAGCCUUCCAGGAGUUCUAGAGCAGAGGCACCCAACCCCUGGACCUCAGACUGGUACAGCCCACAGCCUGUUAGGAACCAGACCACACGGCAGGUGAUCUGGAGGUGAGCAACAGGUGAGUGAGUGAAGCUUCAUCUGCUGCUCCCCAUGGCUCCCCACUGGUCACAUUACUGCCUGAAUCAGGCACCCCCUCCCAGCCCCUAGUCCAUAGGUUGGGGACCGCUGUUCUAGAGGAUUCCACUCCAGAUAAAUAAGAAAUGUGGUCUGAACUUCAGCUAAAUGCACAAAGCUUUCAGAUCAGCCCACCCUUGUAUCAGGGAUUGGAAAUGAAGGGAAACGGAGUGAACUCAGUUAGUUUGAAGAGCUGCCCAUUUCACAUCAUCGCAGGACAUCCUGGAGCGAGUGCAGUGUGCUGUAGUGGAAACAGCAUGGACUUUGGAGCUGGUCAGACUUUUUAGUUAAAUCCUGGCUCGACUCCUGGUGGUAUGACCUUGAACGAGAGACUUCAUCCCUCUGGGCUUGUGAAAUGGGAGUUGCAAUGCCUACCUCAUUGGGCCACGUUGAGGCUCUGUCUGUGUCACUUCUCUUUUCUGGAGAGAAAAGCUGAGAUGAGCCUUACUUAGCAAUGGAAAACGACUUGAUGUAGGGCAAGCUUAUUUCCUUCCUUCUCCUUGGUGAGGAGGAAUUGGAUGUACCGAACCUCACCAUGGUGACUUUUGUCUGCCCUUGACCUAAAAUAGACCCCUAGUUGUAAAUAGGCCUGAGAAGCGUGGAAUGGGCUUGAUGGGGACCAGCUCGUGACAGCGACUUCAUGUGACCAUCAGCCCACACCCCUGCCCCCCACCACACCACAAACAGCUGUGAAUGUUUCCGGUUCCCAGAGAACUGCAGCCGGAGAUGCG